rnacentral:rRNA from 1 species
CACGUAGGUGGGUUUGCAAGUCAGAUGUGAAAGCCUUCUGUUCAACGGAAGAAUUGCAUCUGAAACUGCUAAUCUUGAGUAUAGGAGGGGAGAAUGGAACUUCUGGUGGAGCGGUGAAAUGCGUAGAUAUCAGAAGGAACGCCGGCGGCGAAAGCGAUUCUCUGGCCUAUUACUGACACUCAGUGUAGCGAAAGGCUAGGGAAGACAAC